AAGAUCAGGUUGGGCAUUGGAGGAUAGAGGAGAAAUAGUCUGCCCUGAGAUGUACCUCCUCCCUGUCCUGGGUCUACCAGCAUGUUCUUGGUGGGGGUGCUAUUGUCAUUUUGGGUGGGACGAUGCUUAGGGUGAAACUGUUCUGUACAUUUCAGAAUAUUAAUAUUUCUCCCCCUUUAAUUGCAACUCAAACACACAUAGUACCUUUUAGUCUUUAUGACAAUCCUACCCCGUUUUCCAAACACCUCCUAGGAAGGCCAUUCUGCCCUGCUUGAGAACUACUAGAAACCUCCUGGGUUGGUGCCAGGGGAAGGAAGGGAGGAACAGCAUCUCCUUAGAGUUCUGGGCUUGAGUCAGUGGUGGGAAUCCCUGGUGGUCCUUUGGUUGGAUCCGGUUUUAUCUGGAUCUUUCUACUGCUGUGUGGUGGUCUCUGCACAGUUGAGGUGGUAGAAAUUCUAGGGAUCCGUUCCCCACCCUCUGGACGUCUCUAUUACCAAGAACCACCUUAGAGAGGGGUAGCUAUGUCUUCCUUUGUUCCCACCAGUAAUCCAUGUCCCCAACAUUUUCUCUGGGGAAGGGGCAGUCCCAGUAUAAAUGGGGGGCUCACCCCCUUCACCUGAAAGCCCUUUGGGCAGCCCUCAGAUUCUGCUGUUCCCUGUAACUCCAUGUUCCUUUAUGUGGAGCUAUGGGAACUACCAGAGUCAAUCCCUCGCCUCCUGGAAUUCGUGUCCCUGUGGCUGUGUCUGUGACUCACUGUUGACCAAUAGAAUUUGGCGGGAGUGAUGCUGCAGGAAUUCUGAGGCCAGGUCAGAAGAAGCCAUUUUGCAUUCUCUUCUUGGGUUUCCUGGAGUGCUUACUCUCAGGGUGCUUCCUUUUAGGAACACUCCCUCUUGGAACCCAGCUGCCAUGCUCUGAGGAGCCCAGGUAACAUGGCGGCCACGUGUUGGCGCUCUGGUGGACAGCAGUCACGUGAGUGCGCCAUGUUGGACAUCCAGCCCAGCCCAGGCGAGCCCUGGAUAAGGUCCAGUUGUCAUCUGAUUUUAACCACAUGAAAGACCUCAAACCGCCUCGCUGAGCUUACUCAACCCACAGAACCAUGACAGAGAAGAACAAAUGAGAGGUUUAAGGCAUGAAAGUUGUGGUGGUUUGUUACACAGCAGUAGAUAACCUAAACUAUUCCUUUGGGAUCAGAAGCCAGACUCCUGGGCUAGAGUUGACCAGUAGGGCUUUGGAAUUAGAAUUCGGAACUUAGAAGUUUCUUGACCCUCAGUGUAUCUGAAAGCUAUUUUACCUCAGUGUCUCUCUGCGUCCUCUUCUGUGACAGGGAUAAUAAUAGUACAUUCCUCAUAGGAUUUUUGUGAGAUUUAAAUAUGACAAUCUGUGUAAAGGGCUUGUUUCAAGGGACAGAUCGGCAGUGGUAAAAUUGGAGGAUGAGCAGAAGAAAAAAAUAAAUCCAGUUUACAUUUAAAAUGUCCACUUGAAGCUCCAAAAUUAAGAAAAAUGUCUAAAAGAAAUUGACGCUUUCAGCACCACACUGGUUUCCCCGAGGGCAUUGACGUUGACAGAGAAAGACCAAAGGGACCUUUGUGACUUCAUCCAAAUGUCAUAACAAAAAUGUGUUUGGACUGAUACUGAGAAGAUGCUCGUUUGGAUGGAGACGCUUAUAAUUUAGAGACAUGAUUUUUACCGUCUCCUAACACUUGACGAAGGUCAAGAGGGCAGAUAAACAACUUCCUCCAGCUGCUGCUCAAUCUGGCACAUGCCCGCUGCAGAAAGCGUGCACCGAAAAGAUAAACGCGUCAGGUUGUAUCGCCGUGCACGCCUACGCUUUCCGCAUCUGAACUUGACCCUUCGCAAUUAAUAUUAAAACCAGGCUUGACAUUAAUGAAUAAAAAUUCAAAAGAAGUUGCGCUGAAUUGAAAUGACCACCAUUCCCAAGAGGACAGAUUUUUCUGCAGGUUUGGAGGUUGACUUUGAUUCUUUAGUCUUGGCUCGACGUCUUAUCUUUGCUGUUUCCUUCUGGGAACCGUCUCGUCUUGAUUCCUGCACAGGUUCGGGUCCCUUAGGAGACCCUCCUUGACUAAUGCUGAACAUCAAUUGUUCUGUCUAGGUUGAUUUACGUAUAUAUGGAUAGUUGCCAAAUUCGACUUCGUUGGCGACCUCUUGAGGAUGUUGCAGUUUGCAGAUUCUGUGACACUCUGGAUAUAUUUAAAAUUAGCAAGUGAUUCUUUGAAGAAGUCAUCAGACAGAACUCUGUACUCUUUCGAGUGAAAUAGUCUGCUGGUUGAUUCUCUUUUAUCUUUAUAAACACUACUGAUGACUCAGAGCCUUAACAAGGCUGGGUACUGGAUCCUUUCACUGAUGACUUAGAAAACUAUAUUGUAAGGAGAAGGUACCCUUUGUGAUGUCCACUCAUUGUAUUUGUGGCAAAGCUGGGAAGUCCCUCAAUAAAUAAAGACCUUUCAAGUCCAAGUCAACUUUCUUUCUUUCUUUCUU